GAUAUUAUAUUAGUGUAUAAAGAUGAUUUGCUUUUUGUAUUAAAAUUAAAUGUCUAAAAUUCUGAUGUACCACUAAAAUAAGGACAACUGUAGAAUUACUUUCUCAAAUGCCUCUUUAUAAAGAGACGAUUCUCUCUAAUUUUAUCUCCUUUCUUCUAUUUUUAACUUUUUUAAUAAUAUUUUGGUUGAAAAUUAUGAGAAGAG
rnacentral:lncRNA from 1 species